rnacentral:tRNA from 1 species
AGCCUAGUGGUUAAGGCUAUGGAUCGCCAAUCCGAAGACGGCGGGUUUGAUUCCCGU